ensembl:lncRNA
CUCGUAGUGAGGGGCUCUAAAUUCUGACUGCAAAACCAAGGAUAAGUCAUGUCAAUUGAGAUCAUUAUUUGUGGAUAACAGUCAAGAGGCAGCACGUGGAGUAACUAACACACAGCCGGGUUUUCUCCAAGCCCGCUCGCUUGUCUAUGCCUCAAAGUCUCACAGCCUCUGACAGGUUUCUCCACCUUCUCUCUCCUCCCUGUGAAACUCCUCUGAAACAUCUCCCUACUGUCCCAGAAACGACAUCCCUUCUGACAAAAGAACUCCAAAAAACUGGUGAUCUGAAGGUUGCUUUAGGUUCUGAGGACAUUGCUGUUGGUGUAACUCAGCCUGAUGGAUGCUCUCCCACACUGAUACGGGCUCACCAAGAGGAGACUCGAAGUGUUCUGUCUACAGUCUACAACAGGCGAGGAUCAUACAUUUUAGGACCAGUGGCCCCCCUAGUGAAGGUUUCUGUGCCCUCAGCAUCUCGAGAGCUGGAUGCAACAAGGAAGAGCUGAGGAGAACUGAGAGCCGCCCCUGUCGUGUCUGAAGGUGCUUUCUGGAAUGUAGCAGAGAACGGGAAAUGAGAUCCAAUUGCAAUGAGGAGGAAGGAUGAAGAUGCAACUCCUCACUGUCUCCUAACCCAUUCUUGAAAGACAGCCUGGAGGAGCAGAUUCCAACCAGAGGAACCCAGCUGGAACACCUAGGCAGCAGCCAGGAGAUGGCAGGGCCGUUUUGUUGAGCUAUUACCUGGGAAUCACAGCCAAGGGAGAAGGGAGGUUGGCUUGUGUUCUCUACAGCUCCACCUCACUGCUCAGAGCUUGUUAAUUUUGUCUCUCUUCAGCCUUCUCUUCUCC